CGGGAAUGGAGUCAUUAUUGGUUGCUCCUAUAUCAAAGGCAUCUGCGAACCAACGUGCUGGUCGAUCUGGAAGAACAGGUCCUGGAAAAUGCUUUCGGUUAUACACUGCAUAUAAUUACAUGAAUGAUUUGGAAGAUAACACAGUUCCAGAAAUACAAAGGACCAACCUUGCAAAUGUGGUGCUCUCUCUCAAGAGCCUUGGGAUUCAUGACUUGCUAAAUUUUGACUUUAUGGAUCCCCCACCAGCAGAAGCUCUACUCAAAGCACUGGAGUUGCUUUUUGCCCUUAGUGCACUUAACAAGCUUGGCGAGUUGACUAAAGUUGGUAGAAGAAUGGCUGAGUUUCCUCUAGAUCCCAUGCUGUCCAAGAUGAUUGUUGCCUCUGACAAGUACAAGUGCUCUGAUGAAAUAAUAAGUAUUGCUGCCAUGCUUUCUGUGGGGAAUUCAAUCUUUUAUCGUCCAAAGGACAAACAAGUCCAUGCAGAUAAUGCACGGAUGAAUUUUCAUGUGGGUAAUGUGGGGGAUCAUAUCGCGCUGCUAAAGGUUUACAGUUCCUGGAGGGAAACAAACUUUUCAACUCAGUGGUGCUAUGAAAAUUAUAUCCAGGUCAGAAGCAUGAAGAGAGCAAGGGACAUCCGAGAUCAAUUGGAAGGCCUGCUAGAAAGGGUGGAAAUUGAAUUGACUUCAAAUGAUAAUGACUAUGAAGCUAUAAAGAAGGCUAUAACAUCAGGAUUUUUCCCCCACUCUGCAAAACUACAGAAGAAUGGAUCUUAUCGAACUAUUAAACACCCCCAGACAGUUAAUGUUCACCCCAGCUCAGG
rnacentral:misc_RNA from 1 species